UUGAUUACGUCCCUGCCCUUUGUACACACCGCCCGUCGCUGCCCGGGACUGAGCCAUUUCGAGAAACUUGGGGACUGCUGAUCCGGUGGCUUCGGCCUCCGCUUCGGUGGAAACCAAUUUAAUCGCAGUGGCUUGAACCGGGCAAAAGUCGUAACCAAGGGUAGCUGUAGGUGAACCUGCUGCUGGAUCAUUACACGUACCGUGAUGGU
rnacentral:rRNA from 1 species